GACGUGACUUCAGAGUUUGAUCCUGCUCAGGAUGAACGCUGGCGGCGUGCCUAACACAUGCAAGUCGAACGGAACUUUUACGGAUUGAGACUUCGGUUGAUUGAAGUUUAAGUUUAGUGGCGGACGGGUGAGUAACGCGUGAGUAACCUGCCUUUCACAGGGGGAUAACGUUUGGAAACGAACGCUAAUACCGCAUAACAUAGCGAGGUCGCAUGGCUUUGCUAUCAAAGAUUUUAUCGGUGAAAGAUGGACUCGCGUCCGAUUAGGUAGUUGGUGAGGUAACGGCUCACCAAGCCGACGAUCGGUAGCCGGACUGAGAGGUUGAACGGCCACAUUGGGACUGAGACACGGCCCAG
rnacentral:rRNA from 1 species